GCACGAGUGCGAAACCGGUAAUCGCACCUGACGUAAAGUCAGCGGCAGAAAUGCAUGUGGGUUCGAAUCCCUCCUCGUGUA
rnacentral:tRNA from 1 species